rnacentral:rRNA from 1 species
ACGCUCGACACCUACGGAGGCAGCAGUGGGGAAUAUUGCACAAUGGGGGAAACCCUGAUGCAGCGACGCCGCGUGAAGGAAGAAGUAUCUCGGUAUGUAAACUUCUAUCAGCAGGGAAGAAAGUGACGGUACCUGACUAAGAAGCCCCGGCUAACUACGUGCCAACAGCCGCCGGUAAUCUGAGCGGGCGUGGCGAAGGC